rnacentral:rRNA from 1 species
GACGAACGCUGGCGGCGUGCCUAAUACAUGCAAGUCGAGCGCAGGAAACUGACGGAACUCUUCGGAGGGUAGGCAGUGGAAUGAGCGGCGGACGGGUGAGUAACACGUAAGGAACCUGCCUCAAGGAUUGGGAUAACUCCGAGAAAUCGGAGCUAAUACCGGAUAGUUCAACGGACCGCAUGGUCCGCUGAUGAAAGGCGCUCCGGCGUCACCUUGAGAUGGCCUUGCGGUGCAUUAGCUAGUUGGUGGGGUAACGGCCCACCAAGGCGACGGUGCAUAGCCGACCUGAGAGGGUGAUCGGCCACACUGGGACUGAGACCCGGCCCAGACUCCUACGGGAGGCAGCAGUAGGGAAUCUUCCACAAUGGACGAAAGUCUGAUGGAGCAACGCCGCGUGAGUGAUGAAGGUUUUCGGAUCGUAAAACUCUGUUGUAAGGGAAGAACACGUACGAGAGGAAAUGCUCGUACCUUGACGGUACCUUACGAGAAAGCCACGGCUAACUACGUGCCAGCCGCCGCAGUAACAC